UGCCAGGUGCUGGCUAACAGAUUGUCGCCCAAUUCCGCCAGGACCGGAAGGUAGCAACGGUAAGUGUUCAAUUUGUGUAGUUAUGUGCCUGGCUUUU
rnacentral:SRP_RNA from 1 species